AUAAGCACCUCCUCCUAUAUAUCUUCCGCCGUGCAUCCUGCAGCUUUGCUCUCUCUACCUAGUUUCUCCUCUCUAUAAUAUAUACGCUCAUCAGAUCCACUCCAUCAUCGUCUUGCUGCUCAGCUCCUUGGUCUGGGGGUUUGUGGGGAAUGUUGGCUGGCUCGAGGCAUCCGCGUCCUGGCUCGCAGUCGCAGCGCAGAUCGUGUUUUGCCUGCUACCGGCCGGACAGAUCGAGAGGCGUCGGACCAGGCUUCAUUCCUCGCAAACCGGUGCAUCCCCACGUACGGUGUCUCUUUGUUCAUGAUGACUCUAGUAGGUAGCUAGUGGCACAUAGGGAGGGAGAAGGAGGCCAGAUUAUUUCAUGUCGUAGGUGCUUCAUGCAUGCAUGCUCGGGUUAGGUCAGGGGGAUUGUUGUCUGGCUCGGGGUCUCCGGUCGAGAUCGAUUCAUAACAUAUACGUACGUGCUUCUAGCCUUGCCGGCGGAGCUAGUCGUUGUCGUCGACCGGAGAUUUCGGACCAGGCUUCAAUCCCUUUGACCAUGCGGCAUUAGGGGCACUUGGAUUGGAUCUCGGCAGUGUCAGCUGCAUGCCGAAGAAGCACAUCAUAUCGGCCGGUAAGGUAACCUAUCUUUCACAGCUCCAGAUAUUCCGCUUUAUUUUUAUGUCCUGAUGCAGAUACAUAAGAUGAGAUGUGGAGGCUGCAUGCCGAAGUUGCAACGCGGAAGUCGUUUUGCUGGCUCGGUCAGUGACGACGUAGCAGCGACUAGGUUAGUGGUGUUUACAUGCAUGUUGCUGCAUGAUUAUGCAAUCAUUUCAGAGCGGCCAUCGGGGCAGCAAAGGCUUCGUCGCGCGGCCGUGCGGUUGGCAGGUGCAAACUUCUUUUCCCAUGUCGUUUCCAGCAAACAGUGCUCUGGACAUCCAGUACGGGUCCUUCUUGAGUGUGACAGGAGAGAAAAGAGUGGAGGCCAAACUGACAGACAGUGAGGCGUCGUUGAGGCCCGCCUCUACGCCGUACCCCUUUCAAUGCGUGCGACAACUUGCUCAGGCCCAGAGCAGCACAGCUAGCGUAUCGAUCUCACCUCUCGGCCCGUACGGCGAUCUCGUAUGUGCUCGCUCGCACCCGGCACACUACGUACAAACAUGCAUGGAGUCAUGCAGAUGGUGCCGUGUACGGGUGUGCCUGGAAUUGCUUCUGUCUCCUCCUCCGAUCCAUUGCUCCUGCUGCUAGAAAUGGCAGAUAUAACUAAACGAACGUGCUCUAGAAAUAAUGAAGCUCCCAUCGUCGAUAGAUUGUUCGUUCAUGUGUUCGUGUUCUUAUUUUCUUGCUGCGUCCAAAAUGAUGAUUUAGACCGACUCGAUCG
rnacentral:precursor_RNA from 1 species